rnacentral:rRNA from 1 species
UACGUAGGGUGCGAGCGUUGUCCGGAAUUAUUGGGCGUAAAGAGCUUGUAGGCGGUUUGUCGCGUCUGCUGUGAAAAUCCGGGGCUCAACCCCGGACUUGCAGUGGGUACGGGCAGACUAGAGUGUGGUAGGGGAGACUGGAAUUCCUGGUGUAGCGGUGAAAUGCGCAGAUAUCAGGAGGAACACCGAUGGCGAAGGCAGGUCUCUGGGCCGAUACUGACGCUGAGGAGCGAAAGCGUGGGGGAGCGAACAGG